GAUGAACGCUGGCGGUGUGCCUAAUACAUGCCAGUCGAGCGAACAGACGAGGAGCUUGCUCCUCUGACGUUAGCGGCGGACGGGUGAGUAACACGUGGAUAACCUACCUAUAAGACUGGGAUAACUUCGGGAAACCGGAGCUAAUACCGGAUAAUAUAUUGAACCGCAUGGUUCAAUAGUGAAAGACGGCUUUGCUGUCACUUAUAGAUGGAUCCGCGCCGCAUUAGCUAGUUGGUAAGGUAACGGCUUACCAAGGCAACGAUGCGUAGCCGACCUGAGAGGGUGAUCGGCCACACUGGAACUGAGACACGGUCCAGACUCCUACGGGAGGCAGCAGUAGGGAAUCUUCCGCAAUGGGCGAAAGCCUGACGGAGCAACGCCGCGUGAGUGAUGAAGGUCUUCGGAUCGUAAAACUCUGUUAUUAGGGAAGAACAAAUGUGUAAGUAACUAUGCACGUCUUGACGGUACCUAAUCAGAAAGCCACGGCUAACUACGUG
rnacentral:rRNA from 1 species